CGUGGGUAACCUGCCCAAGAGAUCGGGAUAACACCUGGAAACAGAUGCUAAUACCGGAUAAUAACAGAUGAUGCCUAUCAACUGUUUAAAAGAUGGUUCUGCUAUCACUCUUGGAUGGACCUGCGGUGCAUUAGCUAGUUGGUAGGGUAACGGCCUACCAAGGCGAUGAUGCAUAGCCGAGUUGAGAGACUGAUCGGCCACAUUGGGACUGAGACACGGCCCAAACUCCUACGGGAGGCAGCAGGC
rnacentral:rRNA from 1 species